UACGGGAGGCAGCAGGGGGAAGUAUUGCACAAUGGGCGCAAGCCUGAUGCAGCCAUGCCGCGUGUAUGAAAAAGGACCUUCGGGUUGGUAAAGUACUUUCUAGUCGUGAGGAAGGUGUUAAGGUUAAUAACCUUAGCAAUUGACGUUAGCGACAGAAGAAGCACCGGCUAACUCCGUGCCAGCAGCCGCGGUAAUACGGAGGGUGCGAGCGUUAAUCGGAAUUACUGGGCGUAAAGGGCACGCAGGCGGUUAAUUAAGUUGGAUGUGAAAUCCCCGGGCUUAACCUGGGAAUGGCAUUCAAGACUGGUUAGCUAGAGUCUUGUAGAGGGGGUAGAAUUCCAUGUGUAGCGGUGAAAUGCGUAGAGAUGUGGAGGAAUACCGGUGGCGAAAGGCGGCCCCUGGACAAAGCUGACGCUCAUGGUGCGAAAGCGUGGGGAGCAAACAGGGAUUAGAUACCCGU
rnacentral:rRNA from 1 species